rnacentral:lncRNA from 1 species
UUUGCUUUAGCAGAGGGAAAGGGAGGAGUCUCAUUCUCCCCUCCCCCAGUUCCAAAUACGGCAUCUCAAACCAAAACGACUCAGAGGAUAAUUUUACCAAAAUCACCCCACAGGGCUCUGCAGGCCUGGAGUUUGGUUGUUAUGAAAUGCCCCAACCUACAAAAGCGGAUUGGGGUAGCAGCUGGAAUUCGUCAGAGGCACACACGGGUCUGAACUGCGGCUUGUCCCUCAAGACCAGGAUGCAUGUCUUUUCACACACAUCCUAGAUCCAACAGUGCAUCCUUAUAGGAAGAGGGAAAGAAAGAGAGCACCUUUAAAAGAAAAUGGGACAGAAAAGGAAAAGAAAAUGAGAAUGUCCCAGGACAAGCUCUUCUCAGGACCAGACUGCUUUCAUUGCACCGGGAGACGCCACUUGGGCAUGGGACCAUGGGCGGGGUACAGCAUUUGUUCUCUCCCUGGACAGGACACUUGCCUUCCACAAUGCUCCCCAUAGGGUAGAAGGCUGUUAGAACCCCAUAGGCCAUUACAAGGGUUCUGCUACCACCAGAUCCUUGUUAGCCUGGAAUCAGGCCACCCUCACCGCCCGCUGCCACCCUUCAUCCUGCUUCAUCCUGCUGUGUCAGCGCUCUAGCACUGCACUCCAGCUCCAGUGUGGAGAGAAUCCUCAAUGCCCUGUGGCCCCCCGCCAGGAAGGUGUGCACGGAACGGGCUCCGGGUUACAGAUGCAGCUUGCCUCCUGGAAAUGUUCCCUGCUCUAAUCACUUUGUUAAACUCCACAAACACAAUCUCUGCACCGUGAUCAAUUAUUUAGCAGAAAACAAUGCAUCGUGUUAACAACUAGAUGGCAUUUAAUACGCCCCCAGAAUUCUAAUGAUGCUCCAUCACCGUAGGCCUAAUGCAAAGUUUCCCUUGCCUGUGCUUUUGAAGUCUUCCCAGAGUGGAGAAGAGCCAAGAUCUAUAUGCUUUCGGGUGAUGUCGGACUUAGCUAGCCCCCAGAAUGUAAUCAGCUUGGCCGCUGCGCUGCCGUGAGGUGUCCUUGCGACUUAUUUGUUUUCUUU